CAGUCGAGGGGUAGAAAGAGCUUGCUUUUUUGAGACCGGCGCACGGGUGAGUAACGCGUAUGCAACCUACCUUAUACAGGGGAAUAGCCCGAAGAAAUUCGGAUUAAUGCUCCAUGGUUUAUCGAUAUGGCAUCGUAUUGAUAAUAAAGAUUUAUCGGUAUAAGAUGGGCAUGCGUAUCAUUAGCUAGUUGGUGUGGUAACGGCAUACCAAGGCAACGAUGAUUAGGGGUCCUGAGAGGGAGAUCCCCCACACUGGUACUGAGACACGGACCAGACUCCUACGGGAGGCAGCAGUGAGGAAUAUUGGUCAAUGGAGGCAACUCUGAACCAGCCAUGCCGCGUGCAGGAUGACGGUCCUAUGGAUUGUAAACUGCUUUUGUACAGGAAGAAACCUCCCUACGAGUAGGGACUUGACGGUACUGUAAGAAUAAGGAUCGGCUAACUCCGUGCCAGCAGCCGCGGUAAUACGGAGGAUCCGAGCGUUAUCCGGAAUUAUUGGGUUUAAAGGGUUCGUAGGCGGCUUUGUAAGUCAGUGGUGAAAUUUCCUAGCUUAACUAGGACACUGCCAUUGAUACUGCAGAGCUUGAAUAGUAUGGAAGUAACUAGAAUAUGUAGUGUAGCGGUGAAAUGCUUAGAUAUUACAUGGAAUACCAAUUGCGAAGGCAGGUUACUACGUAUUUAUUGACGCUGAUGAACGAAAGCGUGGGGAGCGAACAGGAUUAGAUACCCUGGUAGUCCACGCCGUAAACGAUGGAUACUAGCUGUUCGGUUUUCGGACUGAGUGGCUAAGCGAAAGUGAUAAGUAUCCCACCUGGGGAGUACGUUCGCAAGAAUGAAACUCAAAGGAAUUGACGGGGGCCCGCACAAGCGGUGGAGCAUGUGGUUUAAUUCGAUGAUACGCGAGGAACCUUACCAGGGCUUAAAUGUAGAUUGACAGAUUUGGAAACAGAUUUUUCUUCGGACAAUUUACAAGGUGCUGCAUGGUUGUCGUCAGCUCGUGCCGUGAGGUGUCAGGUUAAGUCCUAUAACGAGCGCAACCCCUAUUGUUAGUUACCAGCGCGUAAUGUCGGGGACUCUAGCAAGACUGCCGGUGCAAACCGUGAGGAAGGUGGGGAUGACGUCAAAUCAUCACGGCCCUUACGUCCUGGGCUACACACGUGCUACAAUGGCAAGUACAGAAAGCAGCUACCUGGCAACAGGAUGCGAAUCUCCAAAGCUUGUCUCAGUUCGGAUUGGAGUCUGCAACUCGACUCUAUGAAGCUGGAAUCGCUAGUAAUCGGAUAUCAGCCAUGAUCCGGUGAAUACGUUCCCGGGCCUUGU
rnacentral:rRNA from 1 species